rnacentral:rRNA from 1 species
UGGGGAAUAUUGGACAAUGGGGGCAACCCUGAUCCAGCAAUGCCGCGUGUGUGAAGAAGGCCUUCGGGUUGUAAAGCACUUUUAUCGGGAACGAAACAUUGUCGGCCAAUACCCGGCAAGACUGACGGUACCCGAGGAAUAAGCACCGGCUAACUCCGUGCCAGCAGCCGCGGUAAUACGGAGGGUGCAAGCGUUAAUCGGAAUUACUGGGCGUAAAGCGUGCGCAGGCGGUUUGUUAAGUCUGCUGUGAAAUCCCCGGGCUCAACUUGGGAAUUGUAGUGGAUACUGGCAAGCUGGAGUACGGUAGAGGAAGGUGGAAUUCCCGGUGUAGCAGUGAAAUGCGUAGAGAUCGGGAGAAACACCAGUGGCGAAGGCGGCCUUCUGGACCAGUACUGGCGCUCAUGCACGAAAGCGUGGGGAGCAAGCA